rnacentral:rRNA from 1 species
AUUGCACGCUGGCGGCAGGCCUAACACAUGCAAGUCGAACGAUUGGCGGACGGGUGAGUAAUGUCUGGGAAACUGCCCGAUGGGAGUGGAUUACUACUGGAAACGGUAGCUAAUACCGCAUACCAUCGGAUGUGCCCAGCUGGGAUUUGCUGGUAGGUGAGGUAACGGCUCACCUAGGCGACGAUCCCUAGCUGGUCUGAGAGGAUGACCAGCCACACUGUAACGGAGCCACGGUCCAGAGUCCUACGUGAGGCAGCAGUGGGGAAUAUUGCACAAUGGGCGCAAGCCUGAUGCAGCCAUGACGCGUGUAUGAAGAAGGCCUUCGGGUUGUAAAGUACUUUCAGCGGGGAGGCGUUACCCGCAGAAGAAGCACCGGCUAACUCCGUGCCAGCAGCCGCGGUAAUAC